UUCGGUUCCGUGUGGUGUUUAUGGUUUACACACCGUGUUGACAACACGAAAACAAACGACACAAACUAAAUUGUCAGGGAAACACUUCCAUAAUUGUAGCGCCAGAAUAUCGGACAGCGACGCAUAGUGUACUGGAUAACCACAGCCAGGAGCUUGACCACCCUGGUGAACCUCAAGGAGCUUGUAUCUCAAUCAUGCUGAUAGCAACAAACACACACACCACUGCUGUCUUCUGCCCAACAGAUUGACUGCUGUCAAAACAAAGGCCUUCUCAAGGAGCUACUGUUACAAUGAAACAGUUGUUAAGUGAAAGCAAACAUGCAGUUUUUGAGCUUACAGAACAUCCACAGAGCCGCGGGGCAAAAGCUUGGUAUGCUGGUUCUUUUGUUGGUGAGAGGUUUUUGCUGAAUGCCAGGCAGAGCAAUCCAGCCAGCCCACAGGGGUCAUCAGAGGAGGGAGGAGUUUUGAUUAUGAUCAUUAUUUGGGUUUCGGUGUUGGCUGCCAUGUGCUAGUCUGCCUGGGCCUGGCACUUCUUACUUGCAGGUGGGAGAGUCUGAGUGCUGACAGGAGCUGCAGCGGUACAGAUAUGACGACAACAGGGGAGAAGUGAUGAAGAUUCUCAGUGCUUCUUCCUCAGUCUGAGGUUCUUCCGGCGACUACUGGCACUUUCGUU